rnacentral:rRNA from 1 species
UACGUAGGGACCAAGCGUUGUUCGGAUUUACUGGGCGUAAAGGGUGCGUAGGCGGCGCGGUAAGUCGGGUGUGAAAUCUCGGAGCUUAACUCCGAAACUGCAUUCGAUACUGCCGUGCUUGAGGACUGGAGAGGAGACUGGAAUUUACGGUGUAGCGGUGAAAUGCGUAGAUAUCGUAAGGAAGACCAGUGGCGAAGGCGGGUCUCUGGACAGUUCCUGACGCUGAGGCACGAAGGCCAGGGGAGCAAACGGG